GGAAUAGGAAAAAUACACAGAAAAUUAAAAUGUUUUUUUAAUGUCAUACUUUAGUUUGUCACUUGAACAUAAAAAAGGAUUACAAACAAAAUCUAUUUGAUCUUAAUUAGCUAAAAUUUUAGUUUGGAAGGGAGGUCAGCAAAAAAGUUUUUUUCGGCUACUUUAUACUAUACUCUCAGUUUAAUAUCUAAAAUGUAUGUUUAUAAUUUUUGAAGGGGUUCUAAUAACCCAUUAGGCAUAUAUUUCAAUUGUUAGAAAACCAAGGUCUUAAAACUUAGAGACUACAGUGAAUAUUGACACAGUAGUGCACAAUUAAUUUAUUGUAAAUUAGCUUGUUAUCCGGUUGUGAUUAUCAGCAUCCCACCAUCGCACUCGUCAGUGUUGACAAUAACACUAUGCUCGUCUCGUCUGUCAGUCAUUAGAAAGAACAGGUCGGAGGGAUUCAGCACUGUGAGAUACAACGGUGGCUAUGUAAACCAGUCCACCUGUAAUUUACAUGCGCUGCACGUGCCGCCGAAUUAUAUAUCAGCGCCUAAACAUUGUUCACCUGUACUUUUCUGUGUAUUUUUCGAUACUUGAAUGAUAUUUUACUAUUUAGAAUUAAAAAAACCCAUCACAAGGGGUUCGCGGGACAGUAGUGACGUGGCAUAUGUCGUAACACAGUAAAGAGAAAUGAUAAGGUAAACGAGGAAAUGAGUGAAAUGAGUGUAAAUGUGUGUACGAAGAUGAAUAUGAGGAGGUGGUGCCUGCUGUAUAGGUAUUCACGUGCGUGUUGUUGUACAGCAGUCACCGUGCUCGGCUGACACUCCGGGUUAGCUGUGGGUGUCGAAAGGCUGUUGUUAUAGGAAGGGAGAAUAAGAGUAACACCUAGGUAUGAGGUGCAGACGAAGUGCAAGACACAAGUACUUCAAAGAGAGAACGGGGUAGCCGAGUAUAAGGUGCAGACGAAGUGCAAGACACAAGUACUCUGAAAUGUCGAGGAAAAGAGUAUAUAGGUUAGAAAAGGAAUAAACAAAGACUUUACUUUAAACAGUAAGCCGGACAGCGACAACCGAGUACUGAGACUGAUGAAUGACACAAGGCACUGGAGUCGACUGACCACGAUGGUCAGGUCUAUUGGGUUUUUAUAAUAAUUACACCUAUUGCCGAUUUGGCAAUAAAUAUUAUUUGUUAAUUCACCAGUCUCAGGCAGCGGAUGUGCUGUCUGUAUUUUAUUAAAAUAAUUCUCACGAUUAUGAAAACGUGACACCAUCACACAUAAUUGGAUCAAGUAUAAUGAUAUCCGACAGUGAUUAAAAUCACUAUAAUAAAAAAGGGUUCGAUGCAAAUCUUUAGAUAGUGUUUAAUUUAAAAAAAUGGGUGGAUUAUUCCAAAAGCUACAUGAUUUGCUAUUUCCUUAUUAAUAUUCUGAUUAAGAUAAAGUAUGUCGAAUGAUAAAGGGAUUAUUAAAAAACAUUAUUUCUCAUAAAUAAAUUGUGUUGAUCCAUACACUUUUGAAUAAGUUAUAGCAUUAUAAAGUUAAAAAUGUAAAAAAAAAAUUAGCAUAUGUAAAAUAACAUUCGGUAGCCAUUUUCACCGUGAAGACAAAAUAAAGUCCGAAAUUUUUAUUUUCAUAACGAAGUACAUUACAUUAUCUUUAAUUUAAGAUAUAUAUAAAAGUGUCAGAAUUUUCGGAACAGUUUCAAAAGUUAAGUGUAAAAGUAAAUUUUUUGUGAAAAAGUUGUCAUUUUAAAUCCCCCCCCGUGGGCAGAUAAAGGGUCAGAUUUAUAAAAAUGAUAGGUAAAGACAUCGUGCAUUUAUAAAAAAAAAAUUAUAUUGAUAUGUUCAUUUUUGAAAAAGUUUUAAGUAAAAAAAAUUGAAAAAAUUUCGUAAAUUAGCGAUUUUUAAAUUUAUAUUUUUUUUUGGAGAUUUCCACUUUUUAUGGGGAACGAGAGAAAUUUUUUUCAAUUUUUGAGGGUAAUGUCUUCGACUAGAUACGAUUUGUGAUCUUUUGACGUAUCGUUAAAAGAAAUCGGUUCGGUGAGAGCUGAGAAAAAGUAGUA